GAUGAACGCUGGCGGCGUGCCUAAUACAUGCAAGUCGAACGAACAGAUGCGGAGCUUGCUCCUCUGACGUUUGCGGCGGAAGGGUGAGUAACAUGUGGAUAACCUACCUAUAAUACUGGUAUAACUUCGGGAAACCGGAGCUUAUCCCGGAUAAUAUAUUGCACCGUAUGGUUCAUUAGUGAAUGUCGGUUUUUCUGUCUCUUAUAGAUGGAUCCGCGCCGCAUUAGCUAGUUGGUAAGGUAACGGCUUAUGAAGGCAACGAUGCGUAGCCGACCUGAGAGGGUGAUCGGCCACAUUGUAACGGGGACACGGUCCAGACUCCUACGAGAGGCAGCAGAAGGGAAUCUUCCGCAAUGGGCGAAAGCCUGACAGAGCAACGCCAAGUGAGAGAUGAAGGUCUUGGGAUCGUAAAACUCUGUUAUGAGGGAAGAACAAAUGUGUAAGUAACUAUACACGUAUUGACGGUACCUAAUCAGAAAGCAACGGCUAACUACGUG
rnacentral:rRNA from 1 species